UACUAUACUAAAAGUUGCAUAUCCUGAGUCCUAAAGCUAUCCACGUAGGCAAAUUUAAUCAACCAAUGAGAAAGUUUAAUUUUGCCAUAUCACCAUUGCUGAUAUAGAUUGAACUUUCGUGUGGGUUUAUGAAAAUUAUCAGUCUGGCCCACCCCACCCAGCCCAUGAAGAGGAAAAACAGAGAAACAUGUAUCGUUGUUUCAAGCUUCGAGUCUCUUGACUCUUCCACUUCGUCUUCUGCGAUUUGAUUUGUUUUUGCAUAACCUUCUCAAUCAUUAAUCAAUAAUGAUCUUAAAACAAUCCUUGAAUGUUUCUUUUCACCUCCCUUGAUCCUUCUCUUAUAUAAAUAUAUAUGUCUUAAUCUAAAUCAAAACCUAUUCUGAAGAAGUUACAUCUAUGGCCAUGCAAUCCACCGGAAUUCUAAGCUCAGCCGCCGUCGAAGCUACUUCACCAUUGAAUCAUCAUCAUCCAGGUUCUUACCAGGUUACAGCUAUCACCGUUUUCAACCCUCCGAGAAUCUCCGGUAAAAAAAUCAAUUCCCGUGACGGAGAGAUUGUGAAGAAGAUUUCAAGUGAAGAUGUUGGUUUUCUGAAGAAGAUAUGCUUUUGUGUGAGGCACAACGAGUGUUAGAUGGACAGAGAUACAAAGAUGGGUUCAGGCAGGUAGAUGAUUAUUUUCUUUGUUCUGUUUCUAUUGACCAUAGGAAAUGAAAGGAAGAAGCCUUUUAUUGGGUCCUUCUCAUGCAAAAGGAAUCGUCCAUCAGAAAACGUAAGAGCUAUAUAUGAAUUGGCUUCUUUAUCUGCUUAAUUUUAGUGUGGACAGUGGUGUUGAUGCGUGAGUCUUAGUGUUCGAAUAUGCAACCGAAUCGAGGUUAAGCAGCCUAACUCUGUCAUCCGUAAAGUGUGCUAGAGUACAACUUAUCAAGAACGGAGGAGUUCUUUAUUUCUGGAUUUGGUCGUAAGGAUCAUGCUGUGGGAGAUAUUCCUGUAUGUUGCUCUCUCGCGAGUAACAACACCGGAGGGUCUAAAAAUACUAGAUGAUACGGAGGGUGCAAGAAAGAGAUUUUCGGUGAUCUCAGGCCACGAAGCAUCUAAGGAGAUCAGUCCAAUUACGAACUUAUCCUAAGACGGCUGCGAUGUCCAGAUAUCAGUGGAGUCAAAAUACAUUUUAAAAAUAAUCGAUGGACCAAGGAGAGGUAUAAACUGCAGAAAGUAACUUCAGGACCACUGUGUCUUCUUUGCAUUUGUUUUUGUCUAAGUAUUUUGGUAAGAUAAAAACAAUUUAAUACGUUUCCAUGUGUUCUACCGCAGACAAAGAAGUUUCAAUAUUAUGGCUGACGGCCUUGAGAACAAUAAUGUUACUUUUGAGGAGGUAGACUAUAAUUUAGUUUUGGUAUUCAUCAGUACUUCGUUGAUCUUGAGUUCGAGUUUAGAUCAUAACAGGCUCAGAGCCUCAGACUGUCUGUGUUAGUGUGUUUGAUAAUGUUGCAAACUUAGAUGAGAAGCUACACUCUUGGGCAACACGUCUUUCAUAUGUUCAUGCCCUGCUACUCUGUCUGAAAUCUCCUGCCUAAAGGUAGAUAUGAAAUGAACAAAUAAAAACAUUAAGA